CACUCCUGCGGGAGGCAGCAGUGGGGAAUUUUGGACAAUGGGCGAAAGCCUGAUCCAGCAAUGCCGCGUGAGUGAAGAAGGCCUUCGGGUUGUAAAGCUCUUUUGUCAGGGAAGAAACGGUGAAAGCUAAUAUCUUUUGCUAAUGACGGUACCUGAAGAAUAAGCACCGGCUAACUACGUGCCAGCAGCCGCGGUAAUACGUAGGGUGCAAGCGUUAAUCGGAAUUACUGGGCGUAAAGCGUGCGCAGGCGGUUUUGUAAGUCUGAUGUGAAAUCCCCGGGCUCAACCUGGGAAUUGCAUUGGAGACUGCAAGGCUAGAAUCUGGCAGAGGGGGGUAGAAUUCCACGUGUAGCAGUGAAAUGCGUAGAUAUGUAGAGGAACACCGAUGGCGAAGGCAGCCCCCUGGGUCAAGAUUGACGCUCAUGCACGAAAGCGUGGGGAGCAAACAGGAUUAGAUACCCUGGUAGUCCC
rnacentral:rRNA from 1 species